rnacentral:rRNA from 1 species
GUGGGGAAUCUUGGACAAUGGGGGCAACCCUGAUCCAGCGACGCCGCGUGGGUGACGAAGGCCUUCGGGUUGUAAAGCCCUUUUGCCGGGGACGAUGAUGACGGUACCCGGAGAAUAAGCACCGGCUAACUCCGUGCCAGCAGCCGCGGUAAGACGGAGGGUGCUAGCGUUGUUCGGAAUUACUGGGCGUAAAGGGCGCGUAGGCGGCCGCUUAAGUCGGGUGUGAAAGCCCGGGGCUCAACCCCGGAACUGCAUCCGAGACUGGGUGGCUGGAGAUCGGGAGAGGAGAGUGGAAUACCCAGUGUAGAGGUGAAAUUCGUAGAUAUUGGGUGGAACACCGGUGGCGAAAGCGGCUCUCUGGCCCGAUUCUGACGCUGAGGCGCGAAAGCGUGGGGAGCAAACAGGAUUAGAAACCCCAGUAGUCC